AAGUCGUAACAAGGUUUCCGUAGGUGAACCUGCGGAAGGAUCAUUAACGUAUCACUGGUGGGGCGUGUGCCCGGCUCCGGUCCAAAAGGCCGUGCAGCGGGCCCGUGUCCUGUCCAAACCCUUACAAACCCUCCGUGCACUUUAACGGUGGAGGGAGCCUGGGCGAGAGCUCGAGUUCCCGAACCCGUACCCACUAAACUCCAAAAAGAAUGAAUUGCGACCCACGUGUCGCCUAACAAACGAAACAACUUUCAACAACGGAUCUCUUGGCUCUC
rnacentral:misc_RNA from 1 species